UGCAGUCGAGCGGAACGAGUUAACUGACCCUUCGGGUGACGUUAACGGCGUCGAGCGGCGGACGGGUGAGUAAUGCCUGGGAAAUUGCCCUGAUGUGGGGGAUAACCAUUGGAAACGAUGGCUAAUACCGCAUAAUGCCUUCGGGCCAAAGAGGGGGACCUUCGGGCCUCUCGCGUCAGGAUAUGCCCAGGUGGGAUUAGCUAGUUGGUGAGGUAAUGGCUCACCAAGGCGACGAUCCCUAGCUGGUCUGAGAGGAUGAUCAGCCACACUGGAACUGAGACACGGUCCAGACUCCUACGGGAGGCAGCAGUGGGGAAUAUUGCACAAUGGGCGCAAGCCUGAUGCAGCCAUGCCGCGUGUGUGAAGAAGGCCUUCGGGUUGUAAAGCACUUUCAGCAGUGAGGAAGGCGGGUACGUUAAUAGCGUGCUCGUUUGACGUUAGCUGCAGAAGAAGCACCGGCUAACUCCGUGCCAGCAGCCGCGGUAAUACGGAGGGUGCGAGCGUUAAUCGGAAUUACUGGGCGUAAAGCGCAUGCAGGUGGUUCGUUAAGUCAGAUGUGAAAGCCCGGGGCUCAACCUCGGAACUGCAUUUGAAACUGGCGGACUAGAGUACUGUAGAGGGGGGUAGAAUUUCAGGUGUAGCGGUGAAAUGCGUAGAGAUCUGAAGGAAUACCGGUGGCGAAGGCGGCCCCCUGGACAGAUACUGACACUCAGAUGCGAAAGCGUGGGGAGCAAACAGGAUUAGAUACCCUGGUAGUCCACGCCGUAAACGAUGUCUACUUGGAGGUUGUGGCCUUGAGCCGUGGCUUUCGGAGCUAACGCGUUAAGUAGACCGCCUGGGGAGUACGGUCGCAAGAUUAAAACUCAAAUGAAUUGACGGGGGCCCGCACAAGCGGUGGAGCAUGUGGUUUAAUUCGAUGCAACGCGAAGAACCUUACCUACUCUUGACAUCCAGAGAAGCCAGCGGAGACGCAGGUGUGCCUUCGGGAGCUCUGAGACAGGUGCUGCAUGGCUGUCGUCAGCUCGUGUUGUGAAAUGUUGGGUUAAGUCCCGCAACGAGCGCAACCCUUAUCCUUGUUUGCCAGCGAGUAAUGUCGGGAACUCCAGGAAGACUGCCGGUGAUAAACCGGAGGAAGGUGGGGACAACGUCAAGUCAUCAUGGCCCUU
rnacentral:rRNA from 1 species